AGACCCGAAACCCGGUGAUCUAGCCAUGGGCAGGUUGAAGGUUGGGUAACACUAACUGGAGGACCGAACCGACUAAUGUUGAAAAAUUAGCGGAUGACCUGUGGCUGGGGGUGAAAGGCCAAUCAAACCGGGAGAUAGCUGGUUCUCCCCGAAAGCUAUUUAGGUAGCGCCUCGUGAAUUCAUCUCCGGGGGUAGAGCACUGUUUCGGCUAGGGGGCCAUCCCGGCUUACCAACCCGAUGCAAACUGCGAAUACCGGAGAAUGUUAUCACGGGAGACACACGGCGGGUGCUAACGUCCGUCGUGAAGAGGGAAACAACCCAGACCGCCAGCUAAGGUCCCAAAGUCAUGGUUAAGUGGGAAACGAUGUGGGAAGGCCCAGACAGCCAGGAUGUUGGCUUAGAAGCAGCCAUCAUUUAAAGAAAGCGUAAUAGCUCACUGGUCGAGUCGGCCUGCGCGGAAGAUGUAACGGGGCUAAACCAUGCACCGAAGCUGCGGCAGCGACACUCAGGUGUUGUUGGGUAGGGGAGCGUUCUGUAAGCCUGCGAAGGUGGCCUGUGAGGGUUGCUGGAGGUAUCAGAAGUGCGAAUGCUGACAUAAGUAACGAUAAAGCGGGUGAAAAGCCCGCUCGCCGGAAGACCAAGGGUUCCUGUCCAACG
rnacentral:rRNA from 2 species